rnacentral:rRNA from 1 species
UGGGGAAUUUUGGACAAUGGGGGAAACCCUGAUCCAGCCAUCCCGCGUGUGCGAUGAAGGCCUUCGGGUUGUAAAGCACUUUUGGCAGGAAAGAAACGUCGCGGGUUAAUACCCCGCGAAACUGACGGUACCUGCAGAAUAAGCACCGGCUAACUACGUGCCAGCAGCCGCGGUAAUACGUAGGGUGCAAGCGUUAAUCGGAAUUACUGGGCGUAAAGCGUGCGCAGGCGGUUCGGAAAGAAAGAUGUGAAAUCCCAGAGCUUAACUUUGGAACUGCAUUUUUAACUACCGGGCAAGAGUGUGUCAGAGGGAGGUGGAAUUCCGCGUGUAGCAGUGAAAUGCGUAGAUAUGCGGAGGAACACCGAUGGCGAAGGCAGCCUCCUGGGAUAACACUGACGCUCAUGCACGAAAGCGUGGGGAGCAAACAGGAUUAGAUACCCUGGUAGUCCACGCCCUAAACGAUGUCAACUAGCUGUUGGGGCCUUCGGGCCUUGGUAGCGCAGCUAACGCGUGAAGUUGACCGCCUGGGGAGUACGGUCGCAAGAUUAAAACUCAAAUGAAUUGACGGGGUCAUAGCUGUUUCCU